UACGUAGGGUGCGAGCGUUGUCCGGAAUUAUUGGGCGUAAAGAGCUUGUAGGCGGUCUGUCGCGUCUGCUGUGAAAAUCCGGGGCUCAACCCCGGACGUGCAGUGGGUACGGGCAGACUAGAGUGUGGUAGGGGAGACUGGAAUUCCUGGUGUAGCGGUGAAAUGCGUAGAUAUCGAGAGGAACACCUGCGGCGAAGGCGGGUUGCUGGGCUGAUACUGACGCUGAGGCGCGAAAGCCAGGGGAGCGAACGGG
rnacentral:rRNA from 1 species